AUUGAACGCUGGCGGCAGGCCUAACACAUGCAAGUCGGGCGCGCGGCGGACGGGCGAGCUAUGUAUGGGGAUCUGCCUGAUGGAGGGGGAAAACUACUGGAAACGGUAGCUAAUACCGCAAAACAUGAUUUGAACCAAUAUGGGAUUAGCUUGUAGGUGAGGUAACGGCUCACCUAGGCGACGAUCCCUAGCUGGUCUGAGAGGAUGAUCAGCCACACUGGGACUGAGACACGGCCCAGACUCCUACGGGAGGCAGCAGUGGGGAAUAGUGCACAAUGGGCGCAAGCCUGAUGCAGCCAUGCCGCGUGUAUGAAGAAGGCCUUCGGGUUGUAAAGUACUUUCAGUCGGGAGGCGUUACCGACAGAAGAAGCACCGGCUAACUCCGUGCCAGCAGCCGCGGUAAUUC
rnacentral:rRNA from 1 species